rnacentral:misc_RNA from 1 species
UCCGAGUUGACCCCGGCAGUCUUCGAUGAGUCCCCGGCAUAACCCGCUGGCAACAUCGAACGAGGGUUGCGCUCGUUGCGGGACUUAACCCAACAUCUCACGACACGAGCUGACGACAACCAUGCACCACCUGUGAAUGACCCUUGCGGACCCCACAUCUCUGUGAGAUUUCCAUUCAUGUCAAGCCUUGGUAAGGUUCUUCGCGUCGCAUCGAAUUAAGCCACAUGCUCCGCCGCUUGUGCGGGCCCCCGUCAAUUCCUUUGAGUUUCAACCUUGCGGUCGUACUCCCCAGGCGGAGCACUUAAUGCGUUAGCUGCGGCACAGGAGGGGUCGAUGCCUCCUACACCUAGUGCUCACCGUUUACGGCGUGGACUAC